UGUAGAAAAUAAGAUAUAAUAUAUCUUAAGUUUCGUAUAUAUAUGUUUUCCUUAUGUAAAAAGAUCUCUUCUUCAUUAAUUCUUUUAAGUACAUAGUAACCACUGGUAACGAAGCAGUUGUGUGCUAACAAAUUGAGAUUUAACUUCCCCGCUAGUUUCGUCGUUUAACAACUGUUUAAUCAUUCAAGAACCUCGAGUAACCUAAACUAAAUUUUCUUCGGGGUUUAUUUGUUAACAUUCGGCAGUUGUUUCCCACCCACCGACAGCUCACCACUCUCCUUACCAUGGCUCGUGUUUAAUGCUGGAUCUAUUAAGGAACUUUACAGAGACUUUUGUUAUGGAUCGUAUUCUCUGCUAGCAAUGGAAGGAUAAGGAUUAUCUACAUUUCUGAACCACGGAGCGACAGCGGGUAGCAUGGUUCUCCGCCCUUUACCAGCUAUUCCCAGCACUCUACAUCUCUGGUCUGCGUGAAGAUCUAUUAACGACGGGGAACUCUUCAGACUUCAAGACGUUUGAUUACUUUGAGGUUGUGAGAGAUUCAAGACGAGGGGGACAUGGGGUCCAGUGCCAAGGACACCGCAUCUGGGUGGCAUCAUUAAUUUUUCAAUAGUGAUAUUGACACUGUUGUGAUAAUAGUAAUAAAUGUGUUUAAAUUUU